GCCGGCUCCCACUGCUGCGCCCGGCCGCCGCUGCCGCGUCCCGCCCACGUCGGCUACACUUUCGCCGCAGCCGGCUCCGCCUCCGCGCUCCUGCUGGCUCCGCCUCGGCCGACCUCCAACUCCGCCCGCGUAGGCUCCCACUGCUGCGCUCCUCCGCCGGCUCGCCGAUGCUGCGUCCCGCCCGCGCCGGCCCCGCCUUCUGUCAAGCACUGGCUACCUCUGAU
rnacentral:lncRNA from 1 species